UUUCCGUAGGUGAACCUGCGGAAGGAUCAUUAUUGUAUAACCGAGGUGCGAGGGCUGUCGCUGACCCGAAAGGUCGUGCACGCCCGAGUGCCCUCACACGCAUCCAUCUCACCCCUAUGGGCACCACCGCGUGGGUGCCCCUUUGGCUUGUUCGGAGGGGGGCUUACGUUUUCACACAAACUUUGUAUGCAGUGUAGAAUGUAUUUUUUGUUGUUGCGAUCACGCAAUCAAUACAACUUUCAACAACGGAUCUCUUGGCUCUC
rnacentral:misc_RNA from 1 species